UACGUAGGGUGCUAGCGUUGUCCGGAUUUAUUGGGCGUAAAGAGCUCGUAGGCGGUUUGUCGCGUCGUCCGUGAAAACUCACAGCUUAACUGUGAGCUUGCGGUCGAUACGGGCAGGCUAGAGUUCGGUAGGGGAGACUGGAAUUCCGAGUGUAGCGGUGAAAUGCGUAGAUAUUGGGAGGAACACCAGUGGCGAAGGCGGCUCACUGGACCGGUUCUGACGCUGAAGCGCGAAAGCGUGGGGAGCAAACGGG
rnacentral:rRNA from 1 species